AAAAAUUAGAAAGAAAUGAAUCAAGUUCACUCAUCUUAGUAUUGGCACCAUCAACCGCGUUUUUCUUCUUUUUCUUUUUCUUCCUUUUU
rnacentral:ribozyme from 14 species